AGAUUGAACGCUGGCGGCAGGCCUAACACAUGCAAGUCGAGCGGUAGAGAGGUGCUUGCAUCUCUUGAGAGCGGCGGACGGGUGAGUAAUGCCUAGGAAUCUGCCUAGUGGUGGGGGAUAACGUUCGGAAACGGACGCUAAUACCGCGUACGUCCUACGGGGAGAAAGCGGGGGACCUUCGGGCCUCGCGCCAUUAGAUGAGCCUAGGUCGGAUUAGCUAGUUGGUGAGGUAAUGGCUCACCAAGGCGACGAUCCGUAACUGGUCUGAGAGGAUGAUCAGUCACACUGGAACUGAGACACGGUCCAGACUCCUACGGGAGCAGCAGGUGGGGAAUAGUUGGACUAAGUGGGACGAAAGCCUGGAUCCAGCCAUGCCGCGUGUGUGAAGAAGGUCUUACGGAUUAGUAAAGUCUAACGUUUAAGGUUGGGAGGUAAGGUUGUAAACUUUAAGUACGUUGACUAACGUUUGACCGUUUACCGAACAAGAAUAAGACCGAACCGGUCUUAAACCUUCGUACGACC
rnacentral:rRNA from 1 species